rnacentral:lncRNA from 1 species
GCCCUCACGCGGGUCCUGCUGGGCACAUUGCGCCAAGUCCUCAAUCGAAGCAGAACUUGGAAGGCCUGAGAGCUUGUGACGGAGGAGGUGCCUUCUUUACAGGGCCCGGGGUGGGUCUCUGAGACCUGUCUCUGCAAGCCCUCCGCUGCAGGCGCUGCCAGCUGGCCUGGGCCGUGGCCGAGCUUCCUCCUGAAUCAUGGUCGGGAGAGAAAUCGGCCUCCCCUGGCGCCCUUUGUGUCUUCUCCGAAGGAACAGGGAAAUAAAACAAGAGGAGCUUGAAAGAGGGAGCCUGGCCGGCUGGGAGUCAGAGAAUCCGGAUCAUUCCACCCACUGUCAGCAGUAACACAGAAAAAUCCCUACUGGCUUCUCUCCUCCCCCAUCAGUCAGAGCACCUGCUUCCUACCUCGCUCUGUUCCUGUGAGGUCAGAGUCCUUCGUCUGCCUAUUUUGAAGACUGGAAAUCCAUCCUGCAGCCCUGGGGUCAGGCAGUCUGGCCGCUCACAGCGGAUGGCCGGGGUAUCAGAUAUCCCCCAGGGAAGGCCUCGUGCCAGGAGCAAGGCCAUUCCCUCUGUCGCUGCUGCUUUUCUCUCGGAACCAAGGAAAAGGACAAAUUUCUCUUUUGUCACCUCUCUCCUGAGGAUUCUGGUCCAGCCUGGAAGGUGAGCUGAGCUUCCUACCUAGCUCAGCCCCCUCUUGCGUGUUUCAGUGCAUCAGCUGCCUCUCCUUGGAAGCGCGAUCGUGGCUACAGGGUCACAUCCAUGCUGUGUGAUUGGUUGUCUGCUUCUCUCUGAAGGGCUUAUGGGAGAGGGACCCUGUCUGCCUGGAUCACGACCUGCUCAGCACCUAGUCAGUAAAUGCUCAAUAAAUAUCUGUUGAAUGAAUGAAUGAACGGACUCAGGAGAAGUAAUAAAAGCCAGGUUCUAAAGGAGCCCUGGAUUACUGCAUGACGACACUCCCCCAGCUUUGAACGCGUCUCUUCUGGAAAGUGUCUUUCUGCUCAGGAGCAGACUGCCUCUGUCUCCCCACAGACAGAAGGUACUUGGGUAUCGGUGCUCCCCCCACCCCCGUGGGUGAUGGAGAAUGGAAAGCUGUGGUCACCCCACGGCGGCCAGAGCUGCUCAUGGCCUGACAUUGCUGUCAUGUCUUCGGGGGCGGGCUCCCCGCCGUGGGUUUUGUGCCCUGUCACACUGUGUCUGCAGCCUGGGAAGCCCAGGUGAGGCGUGGCAACUGCAAAGACUCUGCCUGGAACCGUGAUUCAUCGAACAGAAUGAUACACUUCAUUUUCGGCUCUCCUUGGCAGCGUAUUUUCUCAUGUCAACCUCUUGUGCUUUUAAGAAAAACAUUUUUCUCAUCAGCAAAGCAAAAAGCUCAGAAAUUAGGCCCGUCUAAGCGACACUGAGAAAGCCAGGGCGGGUUUCCUGCAGCGUGGUGCUCAGGGCAGAGGGGCCGCUGUGACUCCUCGUCGGGUGCAGUUUCAAGGGCUCCCUUGGAAUGUGGGGGUGGCAGGGCUGCCGAGCAAGGCCAGGUCGCUUU